GAUAGCUAAAUAUAACACUAGGAUUAAGAGUUAGAUUGGUAAUUUUUCUUACAUCUCCUCCUCCCGGUGCCCAAGUAUCAUAAAUACCUCCAAACCAAAUUGCUUUUGCUACUAAUAAUAAAGCACCUAGACCUAAUAAAAUUAGAUGAAUACCUAAAAUAGUGGUCAUUUUGUUUUUAUCUUUCCA
rnacentral:antisense_RNA from 1 species